UCCCUGGUGGUCCAGUAGUUAAGACUCCACAUUCCCAAUGCAGGGGGCACAGGUUUAAUCCCUGAUCAGGGAA
rnacentral:tRNA from 1 species